UACGUAGGGCGCAGGCGUUGUCCGGAAUUAUUGGGCGUAAAGAGCUCGUAGGCGGCUUGUCACGUCGGGUGUGAAAGCCCGGGGCUUAACCCCGGGUCUGCAUUCGAUACGGGCUAGCUAGAGUGUGGUAGGGGAGAUCGGAAUUCCUGGUGUAGCGGUGAAAUGCGCAGAUAUCAGGAGGAACACCGGUGGCGAAGGCGGAUCUCUGGGCCAUUACUGACGCUGAGACGCGAAAGCGUGGGGAGCAAACAGG
rnacentral:rRNA from 1 species